rnacentral:rRNA from 1 species
UACGUAGGGUGCAAGCGUUAAUCGGAAUUACUGGGCGUAAAGCGUGCGCAGGCGGUUUUGUAAGUCUGUCGUGAAAUCCCCGGGCUCAACCUGGGAAUUGCGAUGGAGACUGCAAGGCUAGAAUCUGGCAGAGGGGGGUAGAAUUCCACGUGUAGCAGUGAAAUGCGUAGAGAUGUGGAGGAACACCGAUGGCGAAGGCAGCCCCCUGGGUUAACACUGACGCUCAGGCACGAAAGGCGUGGGGAGCAAACAGG